rnacentral:lncRNA from 1 species
CAAAACUCUCAGCCAGGGGUAGACUACUUAGCUGUGACAGCAUCAUGUGCACAUUGAAGAGUAUUUCAUAAUUAUAAAAUAAUUAUUUCAUAAUUAUAAAAAGCAGCAUUGGACUGCUUUGGAAGAUGAACAGUGUCAGAUUGGAGAAAGCCUGGAACAUCGUGACAUGACAGGCCUAAAUGAUCUCUGGAAAGUGGAACACUUGGAAGAGGUUAACCACGCAGGGUUUGUUGGUGACAUCAGUCUUGUAGAUAUUUAGGAUGAGAGCUUAUAGAUUCAAACCUCCAUGCUAGCAGUUAACUUCUUCUUCUGUGUAUUUUUGGAAAAAAACAAGAUAAUCUUUUGGAAGAGAAUUCUAAGUAGGCAUUAUUAGAUAGUAGCAAAGUAAUUAUGGGUUUUGCUAUUUUAGAAGAAAUAGGAGUGUUGCAGUCUUUUCCAAGCUGCUUCACUGUUAGGGAGUUUGCUGAAACCAGCUUCCUAAGGCAUGAAUGCUUGAACAAACCUACUAGUAGAAAAACUUGUAAAAACUUGGUAAAUUAGGAAAAAAAAAAUCAGAUUACAUGCACUUAAGCAGAAGGAUGAACAAAAAUGCAAAAAAAAAAAAAAAAGCACUUAAUUAUGAAGAUAAUGUCAGAUUUUCCAGUUACAGAUGGUACAACUUAUUUAGUCUCCUGCAAAGACUCAGGUGGCAGCUAUUGCCUUGUGUUCACAGCCACGGCUGACAUGCGUGGCCAGCUGCCUGCAGUUCUACCCAGCACUGCAGAUGAGCCACUCUGGGCUACCAAAUCACCCACAGUCUCAGGAAGAUGGAUGUUCUUUAUCAUCUUUCAGUCUUCGGAGGAAUUUGUUAAUGGCUUUGCGACAAUGGUUCAUCUCAGAUAUGGUUUAAAGAUGACAUCGUUAGGAGGAGGAAUAGCCAGAAGGGUUUUGGUUGCCAUUUGGUGAGUCUGGGAAGGAGCUAGAUGCCAAAAAGAGUUGUAGAAAGGAGCAGGCAUCAUCCAGACUAGUGAGAAGUGGUAGGACUAGAACUUAAAGGCUUUGAGAACUGUAGAACUUAUGAUUAAAAGAAAUGCAUGGAAGUAAGCAUCUUGAAAGGCGUGCAACAAGUUUUAUGGCAUAUCUCUAACUAAGGCAAAAUAUUGAAAAUUGCCAUAGAUUUGUUUACAAGAGUAUAUUUGUAUGUGUGGGAAUCUCUGACCGAGGACAUGCCCUAUGGCAUGUUCUAGACCUGUUCUGUGCAGUGUAUCAAUUUAAUCCCUGAGGCAACUGUUUCAGCAUUAGAACAAAUAAACCAAGGUUGUAUUGCAUUUUGGAUUCAUGAACUGCUCUGGUUGUCGUGUACCAAAUUAUUUGUGGUAAAGUAAUAGAAGUAAGAGUAAGUAUCCUGGGAAGUAAAGGUUGUGUCUUGCCAUGUCUCUAAUGGAUGUGUAUGUUUAACUAGCACAUUAUCUAGUACAUUUAAUCCUUUGUGAAUAUGAGGUUUUAUUUAGGAAUUUUUCUGUUUCUCAGCAAAACUGUUGACUGCUCCCUAUAAUAAUAAAUAGACUGUUGAUAAAAUAUGCCACUGGUAUUUUGUAAAUAUAAUUAGUCUGGAAGUUCUGUUUCUUUUUGCAGUUCUACAGUUGUCUGUUGUGACCUUCUCCUCAUAGUAACAAACAUGAAAAAUACGCUUGGAAUGUACGUGAAAGUUAUUUUCGAUUGCUCUACAAAAGCCAUUGACAGUUUGUUGCAUACUGUUGCAUCUUUUUUAUUUAUUUGACCAGGACCAGGCCAAAUGUAUGUUCUAAGCCUAAAGUAUAAUCAGUUACCAGUUCAUACCUUUGUUCUUGUAUGACCCUGUUUGUCCUUUGUGUUUGUUAUAUGAGCUAUCAUACCUGCAUAUAUAUGAUUUAUGUUUUUAAUAGUUCUGACAUAAAACUAGGCCUAGUUGGCUGAAGAAGAGUUCAUAGAAAAUAUUCAAUACAUGGAUUCUUGUGCUAAUACGAGUGCACUGUUUCUGUCCAAGCAGUCAGGCAGCUCUGAAUCUUUCCUGGAUGUGGCUGUAAAUUUAAAUGCUUUUGAUAACAAGCACAAAGUGUGCUUGCUGUUUGUUUUCUGUUUGUAAGAAAAAAGAAUAGAGCCUUUUCAGUGUUUACCUACACAGAUGAACAUCUGCCCUUCCAGUUUUAGAUUAUUUUUGUUUUACAUUAAGGAAAAAUAGCAAUGACCAAACAUUCUGCACACACACACACAAAAUUCAGACACUUCAUAUAGCUCAUCUGAAAUACAAAAUGCUGUGGUGCAGGAGCAGGUUUGGAAACAUCAAAGUGGAAAUGACUGUGGGUCCGUGUUAUUUAAAACUUGGACCAGUGACUUGCUUUGAAUCAUGUUGCUAUCAAACGAUCUUUAAAACAUGUUUGCAAUUAUGCCAAAAUUGUGAAGUUCCUAGGUCACUUUAGCAAGGUGAAAGUCUUCUUGAGGUAUCACUCCCUUGAGAAGUUUGCAUUAGUAAUUUUCAGGUAGGCAUUAUGGAGAAUAUAUAUUUGCUCCGCAUUAGAUUAAGAGUCCUUAAGAUUAGAUGAAGAGUCCUUCAUCUCUGUGGUAGCACACGGUAUGUUUUAUUUUGUCCUAAGAGACAUGGCCAUUCUGUAAAAACUAGAUUCUCCACGAAGAGAAAACCAAAAUACUUAAUAGGCUGGACUCCCAGUACUGGAAACUGCCAUCACCGAGCCCACUGGUGCAAUCCUGCUGUGAUGUCUGUGCCCACCAUCCUGAUCUGUUGAGGUCCUAGAUGGAGCUCCGCACUGACCUGCAUGCAAUGCAAGCGUGCUUCCAGCCUUUGGCAGCCUUUCAGCAAUGAGAUUGCACCUGCGUCUUGUGAAAGUCACAUUGCACCUCUCAGGAGUAAUGCUGAAUCCUUAAGGUGGCACUGUGUGUACCAGCACUGAUGUUCUGCAAGGACUAGAAGAAACUUCUGAGGGAAGCACACUGGUCAAGGCUGCCAUGUAUGGAACUGUGAGUAUGAAGACAGACCAGGGCACCAGACCACCUGCAAUAGCAAUGAUCAGUUCCAUGGAGAAAGCUUGGAGAAAGCUGUUCCAUAGAAACUUUUAGAUGAACACUCAAUGAAAAGAAAGUCAUCUUGCUCCUCAGUGUGACUGCAUGAAAAUCUACUGGGACAAGUUCACAUGAAUAACUGGCACAGAGGCAAGCAUGGAUCGUAAUUUUAUGUGUUCUUAAGUGGCUUAGCUUUUCUGGUGCAACUUUGUUUUGGGAUCAGUGCUCAGUAAUAUGUAUAGGUCUCUACAUUUGCUUGAAAAGCCUCAUGUUACAUUACUGAAACAACAGGCAAAAGACUCACUGACAAUAGCUUUAUUCAACCUUGCUGAAAAUGUUAAGUCCUGUAACAAUAAAGGCUUAACUGUUCUACAGGCUGGCCAACUGGUCUUUGCAUACUACAGGAAACAAUUGCAGGCAUUUAGCAUUUCAGGACAUAUAAGCCAGAACUACUCAGGGAUGCAGGAUGUGAAUAUAUACCCCUGGUGCUUCCACGCUGUUUGUGGAAUGGCAGAAAAGCACAUUCCAUUAGUCCAUGUUGGCAACCUCAUCUUGGAAAAUUACAUAUAUUGCAGAAAUUUCAGUUUUGUUUUCAUACAUUCAGGUGAGACUGAUGAGAUUGUUUCACAUACUGUUUAUUUGCACCUGUA